CCGAAGCUGAAAUGAAGAUCAAGUAUCCAGAGUUAUUUUCUAAGGUGAGUUACGAGGGCGUAACUCGUUUUCUUUAAGGGGGGUAGAAUGCGAUAGAAAUUCGCGCUUUUUACCUAUUUUUAUGAUAUUUUAUGCAUUUCAUGCUUAUUUUAGCAACCUUUACAUGUUGAUGCAAGUAAAUAGAUUCUCCACAUAAGAAAAUUGUGUUCUUGGGUAUUGCAAGUAACUCUUAGCCGGCAAAAGAGUGCACAUAGGUGGCACAAGUACUCCUCUAGUAAGAAUAAGUUAAAAACUUUUGGGGAAAAUGUGGGAAAUUUCGUGUCAAGUUUCGGGACGAAACUUCUUUUAAGAGGGGUAGAUUGUAAUCCCCCGUAAAUUUAUAAAUUUUAUUAAUAUAUUUUAACGUAUAUUAUUUAUAUUUAAAUAGAAUUUAUGAACUUUAGUAAUAAAUAUAUAAUUAACGUAUAUUUAUUUAUUACAUUUUAAUAUUUUCAACGAUUUACGAAAUCGAAAAUGAUUUUAGAAUUUUAAGUUAAAACGAAUUUGAAUUAUGAAAUUCCGUUCGAUUGAAAUUAGGAAACAAUCCUAAGCAGUGUUGAAUUCAAAUUCUAAAACUAAAUACUAAUCCUAGCCCAAUUAGAUUCCUAGCCCAUAAAAUAUCUAAGCCCCAACUAACCCCAAAAGUUUACUCACUAUUGUUUUCUCUCUCCUCUCAAACCCUCAUGAAGUCUCACGUAUUGCUCUCUCCUUUCACGUGAAACUCUCAAAGCACACAAACUCACAAACCCUCUCAUCCCUCUCCAGCCACCGCACCAGCCGCCGCACCAGCUGCCGCGCCACCGUCGCCCUUCGACGUCCGCACCACCACCCGCAGCACCGCUUGCACCGCCGCUGCGGCCCUGCCCAGUCGAUCUCCCUCCUUCCUCCUUCCUUGGCUCGCACGAGAUUGCAGCCACCUUCAACGUUCCUGCUUCUUGCUUGCUCAAUCACCCGCGACCACCAACACUAAUCGCGCCGCCCAGUCGCGUCGCCGCCCAGCCUGCGCCACCGCUGUCGUGCCCCUGCUCGCCGGCAGUCUCUCUCCUCCUCUCCUUUUGGCGGAGAAUUCUCUCUAGGCGACUUUUGAAAGUGUUAAGGUGGCCUAUCAGUUUGUUUACACAAGUCUCUAAGGAUCAAUAAGCGUUGCCCAUCUACAGGUUUGAAGAUGAUGCAUCAUUGGGAUCGGGAUUAGAGAGCUUGUAGUUCUAUUUGUUUAGUUAAGUGAUUCAAUUUGUUAACUUGGAUUUGAAACUUGUCGUACUAUUCGUAUUUCCUUAUUUUCGUUUAUUGGUUUUUGGGAUUAAACCUGUAAUCAAUUACUUAUAAACCUCAAAUUAGUUUUAUGUUUUCCGCUGCAAAAUUCUGAAUAAGCCGUUACGUUUUCACACGGGCGAUAAUGCCUUGAUAAUUCUCUAUAUUUUAUAUUAAAAGGUUAUUUUAGAAAAG